rnacentral:tRNA from 6 species
GGACUUGUAGCUCAAUGAAUAGAGCAACUUGCAGCCCUUACACAAAGGUUGCAAUGUGUUUUGUGGGUUUAAAUCCCACCAAGUCCU